UGGUUCCCUUACGGUCAACGAAGUUAAGUAAUAUCGAACCUGGUCAGUACUUAGAUGGGUGACCGCUUGGGAAUACCAAGUGCUGUAAG